UUCCCGCUGCAGGACAGUAACACAUUCUCUUCUGGAGGAAAGUGGUUGAAAAUUAGGAAUUACCAGCAACUCUUCCCCGGUCUCUCUAGAAAGCUUCCAUUUAUAAGACCGAUGCCGUUUUACUUAAUGUCACCGAACCUGAGUUUUCUUGCCUGUGAAAUUAAGAUGGUAAGAAUUACAGUAAAUGAUUUCCCAUGGCCCUAAAAAUAUACUCAGAAUUACUCUAUUUCCACCUAGUGGCAAAACGGAACAUUUCCCGUAGGUUUUCUUUGACAAAUGUUAGCUUGUCAGCUUCACACCGCACAGUCGCACACAUAGCUUGAGUGUAUUGUGUGAUUUUAUUUAAAGACACCUUCCCAGGAACAGCUUGUGUGGAUAAAUGUGCCUUCCACACAGUUGGUUAUGGGGUGUAAUCAGUCCCUAAGGACAGCAGGCGUGCAGCUGGUAGAGAAACAAAGAGCAGCCCAUUCAGCAAAUCCCUGCAGCUCAUCAUUCAGCAAAUCCUCUCUCAGUACAUGGCUGGAUUAGUCCAAAAGGGGAGAAAAAUUAAAGCUAUCACUAUAAAGCCGUACUUCUCAAAUUUCAGUAUGCAAACCUAUCACCGGGAUCUCGUUAAGACGUGGGUCCUGAUUCAGUACAUCCAGAGGAAGGUGCAAGAUCUGCAUUUCUAACACCCUCCCAGGGCUGCCAGUGGUCCCGCUUGGGUCCGGGUGUUGAGAGCAAGGCCGUGAAAUGCGCACAGGGCUCUGCUCCAUCCGCUGGCUCCACUUGAGUGAUCAGAACUUCCUGGUUCUACUCCAAUGUGAUGCAUAUAGAAAAGACAGGAAAGUGGACAAACGCACUCCAAACACUAUCUGACCCAACCUGUGGACUUUUAAAACAUCAGCCUUAGGUUUUGGAUCCUGACUCGUUCUGGCUUGUCUCGCUCUAGACAUGCUUACUAUCCAGCUUGAAAACGGAUCUUCUCUAAUAAAUUCCCGCUUGGAAUCAUUUCCAAAAGAAAACCCUAGUAAGUAGCUAGAGCCCAGAUCUGCGUCUGGAGGGUUGUCCCGGGGGAGACAAGGGCAGGGCCACCGAGCUGAAGGCACCCCUGACUGUUCACUUCGAAAUCCGCCAAGCUCCGCAGCCACAAGGACUUGGCAGUCGCCACCAGCCAUCGAUGGAAACUUGCUUUGAGUCGUUCGGGGUAAUAAAAUGAUUUCUCAUGGAA